UGAAGAAAAGAAAAAAAACCAAAAACAAAGUUUUCUUUAAGCUGUAACCCAGGCGUAACUGAGAAGAAAUUGCCAUACAUAUUUAAAGAUAAUAGCUUCUGUUUCUGAAAUGUCUCCUCUGCCCCAGACACUGUUUACUUCGUUACCGAUUUCAUAUCAUUUAUCCUUCAUGAGUACUUUGCAAGGGAGGUGUCGGUAAAGUCCUUCAACAGAUUUAAAUAUGAGUCUCAGACAAGUUUAUAAACUUGCUGUGGGAAACCUAGCUGCUCAAUGAAGGGGCUGAAAAAUCCAUUCCAGUUCUGACUGCAGUCUUUUGUAACAACACCUUGUCUAAAGACCACCAGAAUCAAUUCUAGCAGCUUUCAAAUGCGUGUACUUAAAAAAAAGAAAGAAUUUCCAACAGACAUAUAAAAUGCCAGAAUUAAACGUUCAAGGGUACUGGGAGCAGCAAAGAAAAGCCACAGCAACAUCAGUUUGACCACGAAUGCUGCUUAAUGGUGUGUUAAAACGCUGCAAUGAAGAAUAACUUGCUGACAUGAUACCUCCUGAAGGGACACACACAAAUGCUGACUCCUUUGUUUUUUAAUUGGUUCCUUCGCCAUUUCAGCUGCCACCAUCCCCUCUCCCCAAAACCCCAGUAGACAUCAACAGAAUCCAGAAACUACAGGGUCCACUGGCAUGGCAGGGCCUGUAGGAUUCUUUUCCAAUGUGUACAGAUUGGCUGAUGCCUGGACUAUGCCAGUUCACUGUUUUAAAGAUUACUCUUGAUUGUCACAAUUAAAAACAAAGAAUAUUUAGAACCAAAUUAUAUGUGUUGCACAUUAAACAAAACGUUUUAUAAUA